rnacentral:rRNA from 1 species
AUUGAACGCUGGCGGCAGGCCUAACACAUGCAAGUCGAGCGGAUGAAGGGAGCUUGCUCCUGGAUUCCGCGUCGGACGGGUGAGUAAUGCCUAUGAAUCUGCCUGGUAUUGGUGUAUAACGUCCUGAAACGGGCGCUAAUACUACAUACUUCCUGAUGGAGAUACUGGGUGAUCUUCGGACCUCACGCUAUCAUAUGAGCUUAGGUCGGAUUAGCUAGUUUGUGGGGUAAAUGCCUACCAAGGCGACGAUCCGUAACUAGUCUGAGAGGAUGAUCAGUCACCCUGGAAGUGAGACACGGUCAAGACUCCUACGGGAGGCAGCAGUGGGCAAUAUUGGACAAUGGGCGAGAGCCUGAUCCAGCCAUGCCGAGUGUGUGGAGAAGGUCUUCGGAUUGUAAAGACCUUUAAGUUGGGAGGAAGGGCAGUAAGUUAAUACCUUGCUGUUUUGACGGUAACAAGAGAAUAAGCACCGGCUAACUACGUG